GACGGAUUCGUCUAACGGUUAGGACGGCAGCCUCUCACGCUGCAAAUAAGAGUUCGAUUCUCUUAUCCGUUG
rnacentral:tRNA from 1 species